AUGGCUGGGAGAGAGGUGAAAAAAAGUUUUGAAACUCUGAAAACUGAGGUUCGAAAGGGCGAAACUUAUUACAUUACAUUACAUUUGCACUCCUAUUGCAGACUAUUUUUUCAGAGCCGAGUUUACAACACCCACUUUGCAGAGAUACGCCUACACAGUUGCGAGCUUGCGACUCACGUGAUUUGUGGCAGCGUUGUCACGCAGCUCUGUUCUGAAACUCUGAAACUCAGACUGAGCGAAAAUGAAGCUUCGCAACCUCGCAACUUAAAAAAAAAAGGCUGGGGGGAGGGCCUUCUGCUCUUGGCCAAUGCUUUGCUGUCUGCUGACGUACAGUCCAAUCACAAGUCGUAUUUACUGGAAAGGUGGGAUCGGUCCCGUCUAGAGCUGCAAGAACCGCGUCCAUGGCUGGGAGAGAGGUGAAAAACUUUGUUAACAGUACCAUGUUGUAACCAUUAACUUUAGCUAACUAAAAAGCUAGCUAAUACCUGUGAACUUAUUAGCCUGCUUGUGAUCAUCUCUGUAGUCACUAGCUAACUGAGGCUGUGUUCGAAACUUUAAAGUAAAGUUAUGGUGAAUUUUCCUGGGCAGAUUGAUCACUCCUCCUGACCAUGACUAACGUUAACCCUCAACAUGCCAUAGUGAAAUGUCCAUUUUCAUUCAUUUGGGUUUCGUGGGGUGAAAUAAUAGCCUACAUUUGCUGCCGAUGUAAUUCCAAGUUAGCUUUUGGUCGCAUUGCAUGUAGCAGCUAACGUUAGUAAUCUAAUGUUAAUGUUAUACAUGAGACCAAUAUAAUGAGUCCGCUCCACAAAGCCUGGUAAACCUGCUCUGUGUUCGACUUCAUUACACCAUCAGCCACUGACAGCCAGAUGAUGGCCAGUUGAAGUUGCUGUGACUGUUGUUCAUGACUAACGUUACCACAUGGCCAACUCAAGCAUGUUCAAAGAGAAUAUUUUUUGUGAGGUAACGUUAAUAGGCCUAUUCAAUUCCAUUUUCAAUUCAAUUUGUUUUAUUGACAUUAUCUAUCUAUAAAUUAGAGAAACGACUGUCUGUCUGUGUGUGUCUGUAUACCUGUUAUUCGCAUAUCUCUCGAACCGUUAGUUCGAUGGAUUUCAAAAUUGACAGGUGUCUUGCUACAGGCACGAGUAAGUGCAGUGCCAAGUUUGACGUUGUUUCGAUGAGAAAUGCAAAAGAUAUCGUUAAAUAUAUCGGUCAAAGAAGCCCCAAGAAGGUUGUGUUUUAAAAAUAAACAUUCUGACAAACACUCAGUCAGCUACACAGUUUACUUCUGUUCUGAAUAUUAUAGUUUGGUUACAAAACUUGAUAAAUCCAUUUUGAUUAAUUUGAGAAAAAAUGUGUUUUUAUUUACCAAGAAAGUGGCAAGAUGAAAACCACUAUUUUCUGUUUCAAACUUUCACAUAGCAUCUUUAGGUUAUAAUAACAUAAAAAAUUCAAAUCCAGAUUUUGAUUUUCAAAGAUUUAUUAUAAAAACGGAUUAUUUUUUCCCACUUUCACAUAGCAUCUUUAGGUUAUAAUAACAUAAAAAAAUUCAAAUCCAGAUUUUGAUUUUCAAAGAUUUAUUAUAAAACGGAAUAUUUUUUCCCAAAAAUGCAAUAAGUUCAUGACACUUUUUUUUUCUUUUUCAAAAUGCAAUUAAUCCAUUGAAUCAAUAUAAAAGUAUUUUUUUUAUCAUAUUGAAACUGUUGAAAUUAGCCAUCAUUAAGAAAUAUCUCCUUAACUUUUUUGAUCAGCUCACAAAAACUGAUUUUGCACGGGCACUU
rnacentral:lncRNA from 1 species